rnacentral:ncRNA from 12 species
CCGCAAGCUACGACUGAAAGUGGGGUCACGAUUGCAUCGAAUUGUGCAAAGUCAAAAUUUGCGGCUAGUUACGAU